UACGUUCAUAUCAUGUUGAAACACCGGUUCCCGUACGAUGACUGAAGUUAAGCAACGUCGAGCCUGGUUAGUACUUAGAUGGGUGACCGCUUGCGAACACCAGGUGCAGUAA